GGAGGAAAGUAGGGGAUCGCAAGACCUUGCGCUAAAGGAGCGGCCGAUGUCUGAUUAGCUAGUUGGUGGGGUAAAGGCUUACCAAGGCAACGAUCAGUAGUUGGUCUGAGAGGACGGCCAACCACACUGGGACUGAGACACGGCCCAGACUCCUACGGGAGGCAGCAGUGGGGAAUCUUGGACAAUGGGCGAAAGCCUGAUCCAGCCAUGCCGCGUGAGUGAAGAAGGCCUUCGGGUUGUAAAGCUCUUUUAGUCGGAAAGAAAGAGUCGCAAUGAAUAAUUGUGAUUUAUGACGGUACCGACAGAAAAAGCACCGGCUAACUACGUGCCAGCAGCCGCGGUAAUACGUAGGGUGCGAGCGUUAAUCGGAAUUACUGGGCGUAAAGGGUGCGCAGGCGGUUUUGUAAGUCAGAUGUGAAAUCCCCGGGCUUAACCUGGGAAUUGCGUUUGAAACUACAAAGCUAG
rnacentral:rRNA from 1 species